rnacentral:rRNA from 1 species
CAGCAGCCGCGGGAAUACGAAGGGGGCUAGCGUUGUUCGGAAUUACUGGGCGUAAAGCGCACGUAGGCGGCUUUGUAAGUUAGAGGUGAAAGCCUGGGGCUCAACUCCAGAAUUGCCUUUAAGACUGCAUCGCUUGAACGUCGGAGAGGUGAGUGGAAUUCCGAGUGUAGAGGUGAAAUUCGUAGAUAUUUGGAAGAACACCAGUGGCGAAGGCGGCUCACUGGACGACUGUUGACGCUGAGGUGCGAAAGCGUGGGGAGCAAACAGGAUUAGAUACCCGUGUAGUCCCUGUCUCUUAUAC